CCUACGUGAGACAGCAGUGGGGAAUAUUGCACAAUGGGGGGAACCCUGAUGCAGCGACGUCGCGUGGGUGAAGGAGUAUUUCGGUAUGUAAAGCCCUAUCAGCAGGGAAGAACAAUGACGGUACCUGACGAAGAAGCACCGGCUAAAUACGUGCCAGCAGCCGCGGUAAUACGUAGGGGGCAAGCGUUAUCCGGAUUUACUGGGUGGAAAGGGAGCGCAGGCGGGGCAUUAAGACUGGGUGGAAAGCCCGCGGCCCAACCCUGGAACUGCAUUGGAAACUGGCGUGCUGGAGUGCCGGAGGGGUAGGCGGAAUUCCUAGUGUAGCGGUGAAAUGCGUAGAUAUUAGGAGGAACACCAGUGGCGAAGGCGGCCUACUGGACGGUGACUGACGCUGAGGCUCGAAAGCGUGGGGAGCAAACAGGAUUAGAUACCCUGGUAGUC
rnacentral:rRNA from 1 species